CCUACGGGAGGCAGCAGUCGGGAAUAUUGGACAAUGGGCGCAAGCCUGAUCCAGCAAUACCGCGUGUGUGAAGAAGGCCUGCGGGUUGUAAAGCACUUUCAGUUGGGAAGAUAAUGACGUUACCAACAGAAGAAGCACCGGCUAACUCCGUGCCAGCAGCCGCGGUAAUACGGAGGGUGCAAGCGUUAAUCGGAAUUACUGGGCGUAAAGCGUGCGUAGGCGGCCUGUUAAGUCAGAUGUGAAAGCCCCGGGCUUAACCUGGGAACUGCAUCUGAUACUGGGAGGCUAGAAUGUGGGAGAGGAGAGUGGAAUUUCCGGUGUAGCGGUGAAAUGCAUAGAGAUCGGAAGGAACACCAGUGGCGAAGGCGGCUCUCUGGACCAACAUUGACGCUGAGGCACGAAAGCGUGGGUAGCAAACAGGAUUAGAUACCCUGGUAGUCCACGCCGUAAACGAUGUCAACUAGCCGCCGGCCUCACUCUAGAGGUCGGUGGUGCAGCUAACGCAUUAAGUUGACCGCCUGGGGAGUACGGCCGCAAGGUUGAAACUGAAAGGAAUUGACGG
rnacentral:rRNA from 1 species